ACUACGGGCGGCAGCAGUGAGGAAUAUUGGUCAAUGGACGGAAGUCUGAACCAGCCAUGCCGCGUGCAGGAAGACGGCUCUAUGAGUUGUCAACUGCUUUUGUACAAGGGUAAACCUGAAUACGUGUAUUCAGCUGAAAGUACUGUACGAAUAAGGAUCGGCUAACUCCGUGCCAGCCGCCGCGGUAAUACUGGGGAUCCAAGCGUUACCCGGAUUUAUUGGGUUUAAAGGGUGCGUAGGCGGAUUGAUAAGUUAGAGGUGAAAUGUCCGGGCUUAACUCGGGAACUGACUCUAAUACUGUUGAUCUAGUGAGUAGAUGCGGUAGGCGGAAUGUAUGGUGUAGCGGUGAAAUGCUUAGAGAUCAUACAGAACACCGAUUGCGAAGGCAGCUUACCAAUCUAUAUCUGACGUUGAGGCACGAAAGCGUGGGGAGCAAACAGGAUUAGAUACCCGGGUAGUC
rnacentral:rRNA from 1 species